ensembl:lncRNA
GGGGAGUAAAAACUUAGUCACUUUUACCAAUUUUCUAACAAUUAAAGUUACUAACGGAUGGAAUUGGCUGCUCCCCAGAGAAUGUGUUCCCAGGCUCUGGAAAUCUUCAGAAAGAGGCUAGAUGACGUCUAUGUCAGGGGCGCUGUAGAAGGGAUUCUUACACGGGGGAAAGAUUAGAAUGAAUGACUUUCAAAGUUCUGUGAAACAGGAUUCUAUGAUCUUUGGAGCAGCUUUGAGGUGGAUCCGUGUUUGGGAAAGUGUCAGAGCACUCUAAUUUCCUGUCCCAUCCUGUCAGUUGGAAUGUAGAAAAGUAGACGUGAAACUUCUGCAUAAACAAAACGAAGGCACAAAGGAUAAGAAGGGAAAUAGCGUUUGGCCCCACUCCUGGUACUUUCCCUCCAGUCUAGAAGCAGAGGCCCAGGUGUGUGUCUGAACAAGAGGUCCCAGCAGUAGAUUUUCUGUGACCAGAAGAGGGCACCAAAUCCACGCCAUUGUCUGCUCCCUUAGACUUUAAACUUGGCCAAAUUCCAGGUAAGUUUUCCCAGCCGGCUCAGCCCGCUCCUCAUCCUGUCCUAGGACAUAAAAGUCAAGAAUUUCCCAUCUUUGCUUCCUCUCCGCAGGGGAAGGUUGGUAAAGUUCUUCACUGGAAGGCGAAAGUCACCUCCCUCUCCUCACGCCCACCUCCUUUAUCUAACCAGCAAACCUCCGUUUUCUAGCAAGAAAAAGGCAGCAAAGAGACGGAGGGAAUUGGGGAGAAAAACACGGUGCACGUGGAAGCAAGAGACCCGCGCUCGUUGCAGCGUGAUCUCGACAAGUUGCCUCAGUUGCCUCAUUUGUAAAAAAGGUCUGACAGCCUGUGGUUAUGUUAGAGAAAGAAAAAGCAUUCUUCCCAGAAGAGGAAUUCCCCAGUCAUCAGACAGCCCGAGGACCAAAGAUGGAUCAGCGCUUCCUUCCCUCCCUCCCCCGCCAGCUCUGCCCUUUCCCUCCCAUCCCUGCCUCCGCCAGCUCAGGGAUGAGGAAAUGCCAGCACCGCGGAUCUCGGGUCAGGCCGCACUGGGCACGAACGGCGGAAGUCACCGGGUUUAAAAGAAAGGCCGAGUUUCUUUCUCCUAGAAUAGGAACCUUCCCUCACAGACCGGUGGGUGACCAGUGAUGCUUCAACCUCUCGGAGCCUCAUUGGCUGAGGCCCAUGCGGGAGACAAACUCGGAAUCAGACAAAUGUUCCGUUAAGUCAGAAACGCCUCCUUUCUCCGCUUCUGGUCCCCAGCUCGGCCCCUUUCUCCGGCUCCUUAAAAAGGGCCCAGGAGCAAUAACUGCCCGAGAGGGACAGCGGGGAAGCCUGAAGCCAACAUCUGGGGAGUCGGGUUCCAGGAGCCCUGGGUCUGCCUCCCUUUCUGCCCCCUCCCUGUGCGACUAGCGGAUCGGCUCCUCUCCUAGGUUUUCUCACCUGUCAGGAGCGCCUUUUGAUACAUCGUAAUUAUGCUGCGGUUACAGUCCUGUGUGUAUAUGCUAAUAUAUGGCGAUUAUAAUAGAGUAUUCUGUUACAUUGGCCUAGCGUCAUUCUUCAACUGUUCCCCUAUUGAUGGGCAUCUCUUCUAUUUCAAGUUCUUGGUGCUAUUUAAAAAGAGGUUUUCUACAGAAAAGACCUUUUCCUCUUUCUUUGAGCUCUUUAAAGUGUAAGUCAAGGAGGGUGAUGCUGGUUCGACGGGUAUGCAGAGUCUAUUAAUUUUGUUUCUAAAUCAUACUUCCAAACGAUGUCCUAGAGCGGUUCUAUAACAUCCAGCUAAGUCCCAGUGCGUUUCUGUGCCUACUUUGCAAACCUUCCAACGUUUUUCCUUUUCCUUUUCUGUCAGCUUUGCCAGGUGUAGAGGUGGGCAGUGGAAACGUGGAGUUAUUUUAAUUUCUUUUCUAAU